rnacentral:rRNA from 1 species
GACGAACGCUGGCGGCGUGCUUAACACAUGCAAGUCGAACGGAAAGGCCCUGCUUUUGUGGGGUGCUCGAGUGGCGAACGGGUGAGUAACACGUGAGUAACCUGCCCUUGACUUUGGGAUAACUUCAGGAAACUGGGGCUAAUACCGGAUAGGAGCUCCUGCUGCAUGGUGGGGGUUGGAAAGUUUCGGCGGUUGGGGAUAGACUCGCGGCUUAUCAGCUUGUUGGUGGGGUAGUGGCUUACCAAGGCUUUGACGGGUAGCCGGCCUGAGAGGGUGACCGGCCACAUUGGGACUGAGAUACGGCCCAGACUCCUACGGGAGGCAGCAGUGGGGAAUAUUGCACAAUGGGCGGAAGCCUGAUGCAGCAACGCCGCGUGCGGGAUGACGGCCUUCGGGUUGUAAACCGCUUUCGCCUGUGACGAAGCGUGAGUGACGGUAAUGGGUAAAGAAGCACCGGCUAACUACGUGCCAGCAGCCGCGGUGAUACGUAGGGUGCGAGCGUUGUCCGGAUUUAUUGGGCGUAAAGGGCUCGUAGGUGGUUGAUCGCGUCGGAAGUGUAAUCUUGGGGCUUAACCCUGAGCGUGCUUUCGAUACGGGUUGACUUGAGGAAGGUAGGGGAGAAUGGAAUUCCUGGUGGAGCGGUGGAAUGCGCAGAUAUCAGGGGGAACACCAGUGGCGAAGGCGGUUCUCUGGGCCUUUCCUGACGCUGAGGAGCGAAAGCGUGGGGAGCGAACAGGCUUAGAUACCCUGGUAGUCCACGCUGUAAACGGUGGGUACUAGGUGUGGGGUCCAUUCCACGGGUUCCGUGCCGUAGCUAACGCUUUAAGUACCCCGCCUGGGGAGUACGGCCGCAAGGCUAAAACUCAAAGGAAUUGACGGGGCCCCGCACAAGCGGCGGAGCAUGCGGAUUAAUUCGAUGCAACGCGUAGAACCUUACCUGGGUUUGACAUGGAUCGGGAGCGCUCAGAGAUGGGUGUGCCUCUUUUGGGGUCGGUUCACAGGUGGUGCAUGGCUGUCGUCAGCUCGUGUCGUGAGAUGUUGGGUUAAGUCCCGCAACGAGCGCAACCCUUGUUCACUGUUGCCAGCACGUUAUGGUGGGGACUCAGUGGAGACCGCCGGGGUCAGCUCGGAGGAAGGUGGGGAUGACGUCAAGUCAUCAUGCCCCUUAUGUCCAGGGCUUCACGCAUGCUACAAUGGCUGGUACAGAGAGUGGCGAGCCUGUGAGGGUGAGCGAAUCUCGGAAAGCCGGUCUCAGUUCGGAUUGGGGUCUGCAACUCGACCUCAUGAAGUCGGAGUCGCUAGUAAUCGCAGAUCAGCAACGCUGCGGUGAAUACGUUCCCGGGGCU